GGGUUGUGAGGUUAAGCGACUAAGCGUACACGGUGGAUGCCCUGGCAGUCAGAGGCGAUGAAGGACGUGCUAAUCUGCGAAAAGCGUCGGUAAGGUGAUAUGAACCGUUAUAGCCGGCGAUGUCCGAAUGGGGAAACCCAGUGCAAUUCGUUGCACUAUCGUUAACUGAAUACAUAGGUUAACGAGGCGAACCGGGGGAACUGAAACAUCUAAGUACCCCGAGGAAAAGAAAUCAACCGAGAUUCCCCCAGUAGCGGCGAGCGAACGGGGAGCAGCCCGGAGUCUGAAUCAGCUUGUGUGUUAGUGGAAGCGUCUGGAAAGUCGCAGGGUACAGGGUGAUACUCCCGUACACUAAAACGCACAGGUUGUGAACUCGAAGAGUAGGGCGGGACACGUGGUAUCCUGUCUGAAUAUGGGGGGACCAUCCUCCAAGGCUAAAUACUCCUGACUGACCGAUAGUGAACCAGUACCGUGAGGGAAAGGCGAAAAGAACCCCGGCGAGGGGAGUGAAAAAGAACCUGAAACCGUGUACGUACAAGCAGUAGGAGCCCACUAGUUGGGUGACUGCGUACCUUUUGUAUAAUGGGUCAGCGACUUAUAUUCUGUAGCAAGGUUAACCGUAUAGGGGAGCCGCAGGGAAACCGAGUCUUAACUGGGCGUUAAGUUGCAGGGUAUAGACCCGAAACCCGGUGAUCUAGCCAUGGGCAGGUUGAAGGUUGGGUAACACUAACUGGAGGACCGAACCGACUAAUGUUGAAAAAUUAGCGGAUGACUUGUGGCUGGGGGUGAAAGGCCAAUCAAACCGGGAGAUAGCUGGUUCUCCCCGAAAGCUAUUUAGGUAGCGCCUCGUGAAUUCAUCUUCGGGGGUAGAGCACUGUUUCGGCUAGGGGGUCAUCCCGACUUACCAACCCGAUGCAAACUACGAAUACCGAAGAAUGUUAUCACGGGAGACACACGGCGGGUGCUAACGUCCGUCGUGAAGAGGGAAACAACCCAGACCGCCAGCUAAGGUCCCAAAGUCAUGGUUAAGUGGGAAACGAUGUGGGAAGGCCCAGACAGCCAGGAUGUUGGCUUAGAAGCAGCCAUCAUUUAAAGAAAGCGUAAUAGCUCACUGGUCGAGUCGGCCUGCGCGGAAGAUGUAACGGGGCUAAACCAUGCACCGAAGCUGCGGCAGCGACACUAUGUGUUGUUGGGUAGGGGAGCGUUCUGUAAGCCGUUGAAGGUGGCCUGUGAGGGUUGCUGGAGGUAUCAGAAGUGCGAAUGCUGACAUAAGUAACGAUAAUGCGGGUGAAAAACCCGCACGCCGGAAGACCAAGGGUUCCUGUCCAACGUUAAUCGGGGCAGGGUGAGUCGACCCCUAAGGCGAGGCCGAAAGGCGUAGUCGAUGGGAAACAGGUUAAUAUUCCUGUACUCGGUGUUACUGCGAAGGGGGACGGAGAAGGCUAUGUUGGCCGGGCGACGGUUGUCCCGGUUUAAGCAUGUAGGCGGAUGUUCCAGGUAAAUCCGGAACGUUAUUAACGCUGAGGUGUGAUGACGAGGCACUACGGUGCUGAAGUGACAAAUGCCCUGCUUCCAGGAAAAGCCUCUAAGCAUCAGGUAACAUCAAAUCGUACCCCAAACCGACACAGGUGGUCAGGUAGAGAAUACCAAGGCGCUUGAGAGAACUCGGGUGAAGGAACUAGGCAAAAUGGUGCCGUAACUUCGGGAGAAGGCACGCUGAUGGUAGGUGAAGCGACUUGCUCGUGGAGCUGAAAUCAGUCGAAGAUACCAGCUGGCUGCAACUGUUUAUUAAAAACACAGCACUGUGCAAACACGAAAGUGGACGUAUACGGUGUGACGCCUGCCCGGUGCCGGAAGGUUAAUUGAUGGGGUUAUCCGUAAGGAGAAGCUCUUGAUCGAAGCCCCGGUAAACGGCGGCCGUAACUAUAACGGUCCUAAGGUAGCGAAAUUCCUUGUCGGGUAAGUUCCGACCUGCACGAAUGGCGUAAUGAUGGCCAGGCUGUCUCCACCCGAGACUCAGUGAAAUUGAACUCGCUGUGAAGAUGCAGUGUACCCGCGGCAAGACGGAAAGACCCCGUGAACCUUUACUAUAGCUUGACACUGAACACUGGUCCUUGAUGUGUAGGAUAGGUGGGAGGCUUUGAAGUGUGGACGCCAGUCUGCAUGGAGCCAUCCUUGAAAUACCACCCUUUAAUGGCUGGUGUUCUAACGUGGGCCCGUGAUCCGGGUUGCGGACAGUGUCUGGUGGGUAGUUUGACUGGGGCGGUCUCCUCCUAAAGAGUAACGGAGGAGCACGAAGGUCAGCUAAUCCUGGUCGGACAUCAGGAGGUUAGUGCAAUGGCAUAAGCUGGCUUGACUGCGAGCGUGACGGCGCGAGCAGGUGCGAAAGCAGGUCAUAGUGAUCCGGUGGUUCUGAAUGGAAGGGCCAUCGCUCAACGGAUAAAAGGUACUCCGGGGAUAACAGGCUGAUACCGCCCAAGAGUUCAUAUCGACGGCGGUGUUUGGCACCUCGAUGUCGGCUCAUCACAUCCUGGGGCUGAAGUAGGUCCCAAGGGUAUGGCUGUUCGCCAUUUAAAGUGGUACGCGAGCUGGGUUUAGAACGUCGUGAGACAGUUCGGUCCCUAUCUGCCGUGGGCGCUGGAGAAUUGAGGGGGGCUGCUCCUAGUACGAGAGGACCGGAGUGGACGCAUCACUGGUGUUCGGGUUGUCAUGCCAAUGGCAUUGCCCGGUAGCUAAAUGCGGAAGAGAUAAGUGCUGAAAGCAUCUAAGCACGAAACUUGCCCCGAGAUGAGUUCUCCCUGACCCUUUAAGGGUCCUGAAGGAACGUUGAAGACGACGACGUUGAUAGGCCGGGUGUGUAAGCGCAGCGAUGCGUUGAGCUAACCGGUACUAAUGAACCGUGAGGCUUAACCUUACAACGCCGAAG
rnacentral:rRNA from 1 species